UCGAGCGGACAGAUGGGAGCUUGCUCCCUGAUGUUAGCGGCGGACGGGUGAGUAACACGUGGGUAACCUGCCUGUAAGACUGGGAUAACUCCGGGAAACCGGGGCUAAUACCGGAUGCUUGUUUGAACCGCAUGGUUCAAACAUAAAAGGUGGCUUCGGCUACCACUUACAGAUGGACCCGCGGCGCAUUAGCUAGUUGGUGAGGUAAUGGCUCACCAAGGCAACGAUGCGUAGCCGACCUGAGAGGGUGAUCGGCCACACUGGGACUGAGACACGGCCCAGACUCCUACGGGAGGCAGCAGUAGGGAAUCUUCCGCAAUGGACGAAAGUCUGACGGAGCAACGCCGCGUGAGUGAUGAAGGUUUUCGGAUCGUAAAGCUCUGUUGUUAGGGAAGAACAAGUACCGUUCGAAUAGGGCGGUACCUUGACGGUACCUAACCAGAAAGCCACGGCUAACUACGUGCCAGCAGCCGCGGUAAUACGUAGGUGGCAAGCGUUGUCCGGA
rnacentral:rRNA from 1 species